GACGAACGCUGGCGGCGUGCUUAACACAUGCAAGUCGAACGAUGAGGCUGGAGCUUGCUCCGGUGGAUUAGUGGCGAACGGGUGAGUAACACGUGAGCAAUCUGCCCUUGACUCUGGGAUAACUGCGGGAAACUGUAGCUAAUACCGGAUACUUUCACUGGAAGGCAUCUUCUGGUGAAGAAAGAAUUUCGGUCAAGGAUGAGCUCGCGGCCUAUCAGCUUGUUGGUGAGGUAACGGCUCACCAAGGCGACGACGGGUAGCCGGCCUGAGAGGGGCACCGGCCACACUGGGACUGAGACACGGCCCAGACUCCUAGGGGAGGCAGCAGUGGGGAAUAUUGCACAAUGGGCGCAAGCCUGAUGCAGCAACGCCGCGUGAGGGAUGAAGGCCUUCGGGUUGUAAACCUCUUUUAGCAGGGAAGAAGCGAAAGUGACGGUACCUGCAGAAAAAGCACCGGCUAACUACGUGCCAGCCGCCGCCGUAA
rnacentral:rRNA from 1 species